ACGGGAGGCAGCAGUGAGGAAUAUUGGUCAAUGGGCGAGAGCCUGAACCAGCCAUGUCGCGUGCAGGAAUACGGCCCUAUGGGUUUUAAACUGCUUUUGCCUGGGGAUAAAGUGGCGGACUUGUCCGUUAUUGCAGGUACCAGGCGAAUAAGGAUCGGCUAACUCCGUGCCAGCAGCCGCGGUAAUACGGAGGAUCCGAGCGUUAUCCGGAUUUAUUGGGUUUAAAGGGUGCGCAGGCGGGAUGUCAAGUCAGUGGUGAAAUGGUGCGGCUCAACCGUAGCAUUGCCGUUGAAACUGGCGUCCUUGAGUGCGAAUGAGGUACGCGGAACGUGUCAUGUAGCGGUGAAAUGCAUAGAUAUGACACAGAACACCGAUUGCGAAGGCAGCGUACUGGGACGCGACUGACGCUGAGGCACGAAAGUGCGGGGAUCGAACAGGAUUAGAUACCCUGGUA
rnacentral:rRNA from 1 species